GGGGAAAGCGUGUUGAGAAGGAAAAUACAAAUGAACCGUCAGUGGCUAAACUUUGAGGUACAAUUAGGGGCCAAUUGUCAUCUAUGGUUAUGUGACGUUAUGGGCUAGUUUCAAACUAUUUUUUAACGAAUUUUAAGAGCAACAUGCAAUUAGUUUCCAAUUCUAUUCCAAGAAAUGAAGGAAAAUUGACUUCCCCUUCCCAAGCCGUCACCAAACCAAAGGAUAAAAUAAACUGCUGUGGCUUUGAAUGUAGAGUUGAGUAGAUGCUCUUGAAUGAUUGUUUCCACCUCAUUCUUCAAUGAUAGUUAAUGAGGGCACAGACCACUAAUAAGCAGUGGAAGCAGCUUCUAGGCUAAGCUUAAAUUGGGCCUUCAAAUCUAAUCAAAAUUAGUCACUGCUGAGAAGAAACCAAAUGUGGUGUGUCCAUUCGGAUGUGGAGUUUGGAGAGGCCCUCCUUGUUUUCCAGGCUGUGAGCCAUGGGAAGCGUGUCAACCAUGUCAAACCAAAGGAUCAAGAAAUUGAAGAUUCCGUUCACUUGCCUUGGAGUUUGAGGAGCACCCGGGACAUCUGGGAUUUGCUUCCUCGAAUCUCCAGCUUGCAUGGUCCUCUGAUGAAGAAAGGAGAGAGCAGGAAAAAAAAAAAUGGAAGAGGAGGACAGAGAAAAAAAAUUCAG
rnacentral:lncRNA from 1 species